rnacentral:rRNA from 1 species
CGGGACGGGUGAGUAACGCGUGGGUGACCUGCCUUGUACUGGGGGACAACAGUUAGAAAUGACUGCUAAUACCGCAUAAGCGCACAGUAUCGCAUGAUACAGUGUGAAAAACUCCGGUGGUACAAGAUGGACCCGCGUCUGAUUAGCUAGUUGGUAAGGUAACGGCUUACCAAGGCGACGAUCAGUAGCCGACCUGAGAGGGUGACCGGCCACAUUGGGACUGAGACACGGCCCAA